GCGGGGGCGGGAGGGCGGACGGGAACCUCCUUCGGCCCGAAGCCCUUGGCUCCCUCCCGGUCCCUGUGCCUGCGGAAACACGGCUGCGUCCCUCCCGAGGAAGGCUGGAGGCAUCUCCUCUGCUGCUCGGGGGCGCCGCGAGAGGGACCAUUUGUGUAGCUCCGCGCCGCUGCCCCGGGCCGUGGGGUCGCGCUUUUGAUAGCCCGGACCCCGCCCUGGGCAGUUGGCCGCUGGCCUCCGCCCCGAGCUUAGAGGCGAGCGCCGCGGGCACCCCUUGUCCGCUGGCCUUUGGGCAGCUGCGCAGCUUCUUCUCCUAAGGAUAAGGAGGCAGGAUAGCAAGCUGUCAAAGUGGGGCCUCUCCUCGGGCUUGCCCUAGGGAGGAGGGAACUGAGCCACUGCUUUUUGCCUUUAGAAAUGCCCAUCUGGAGCCCAGGGCCUUGCGGGUUAAAGCAGCCCCCGAGCCUCUGCUAGGGACCUUUCCUCCCACCCGGGGGUAACGCGGCGCUGCCUCUAGAGCUGGCCAGUGCAGCGGACCAUGUUUAUUCAGAUGGAUACCUGCGCUGAGAAAAGGGGGUGUAUCCCGAUUUGCUCCGAAUUUUUCCCUUUUACCCCUUCAUGAGACCUGCAACUUGAUGGAAGGAGUUACCAAGGAGCAUCAGCUGUAAAGUGAUGAGAUCUAGGGGAGAAUGACCAGUUUCUAGCAAUUGAGAAAGAUCUCUUAAGGAUAUCCAUCCUGAUCCCUUAAAAGGGGCCUGAUAGAUAAGGAGCUAAAACAUAUUGAGUUGAGAAAUCUUAAGUAAGUCACUUUGGCUUUAGAUUUUUCAUUUGUAAAAUGAAGAAAUUAGAGGAUGAUGUCUGAGGUCUCUUUUUAUGAUAUAAUUCUAAUACUUAGUCAUAAAUUUAAAUAUCUUAACAUCUGCAGAAAAGAGCCUCUAGUUUGUACUUUGUGCCCAAGUUACAAAAGGCAGAAGUGAGGCCCUAGGGAGUGCUGUGACUCUCCCAGGAGGGUGAAUCUCUGGGACUAUAAAAUCCACCUUAAUUUUGUAGUUAUUAGUCAAUAUAUCUAGUGAUCCACAAUCUGGCACUAGGAGAAGCAAUUGCUUCUUGAUAGAAUUUGCAUGCUGUCAUCCCUCUUUGCCUCCUAGAUAUUAAGAGUCUUAGGGAUGAGGGUAACCACAGUAAUUUUUUGCACAAAAGAAAUUAUAUAGCUAACCUCUUGACUUGAGAUCACAUGGCUUUUGACCACUUGUCCAGAAAAUGCUGAGUCAUUUGAGAGCAGCUCCAGCUUUUUUUCUCCUCCCUCCUCAGGGGUACAUGUCCAGUAGUGCUGGCAUGUGAAGCUGUCUAGGCAUGAUAACCAGAGAGCAAUGAAGGAGUCAUGCCAGACAGGCAUAGUAGUGGAAGGAAUUAGCUCUUGAGCUAGGUGGUACUGACCAAAAUGGGGACAGCAGAUGAAAGGCCAAGCCCCAUUUGCUGGGACUUGUUUCAGAUCUAAACAAAGCAUGUUUGCUUAUAAAAGAAAAAAGAACAAGUUUUUAACAGUAAAAAAAAACCAAAAUUUAUAAAUAAUCCUUUAGCUCCAAUGUACUGGGUGCUGGACUUGGUAGUAUCCAUACUAAUAUGACUGAUCCAUAUCUUCCCCAUCAGGGGCGCUGGAGGGCAGUGGUUCUGGAGAAAAUUUGAUGUGACAAGUUUGUUGGCUAGGUCCCAUUUUGAUGCCUAUAUAUAUGUGUUUUUUCUUGAUGGGUCAGAUCUGUAUUGAGUCUUAUGUGUGCUAAAUGAGGCUUCUCUUUGGUGAAUCCAUUUUUUGGAUUGAAAAUAAUCUGACAGGUACCAUGUUUUCUCUUGGGCACACAGCUUUUCUGAACAUAUGUAUCCAUUUUUACCUAUGAUGUAGCAUGGGCUCCUAUGGAAGUUUCCUCAGGUGAAGUGGAGCAGUUUGGGGGAGGGUGAGAUACUGAUGCAAAUGAUAAUGACAUUUUGCUUCUUUAAUUUUUCCACACUUCCUCUUUAAGAAAUGAAUGUUGGGUAAGACUGGAGAGAGGUGGGUGUCUCCUUUCAUUUCCCUCUCUUUUUUUUAAUAUGAAUCCACAUACCAAGAACCCAAUGGUCAGCAUCUUCAUUUGUCACUUAGAAAUUUCUAGUUCCAGAAAAAAUGCUGAGUCACAGGAGAGCAGCUCUCUAGUCUCUGCUAGAAAACUUGGAGAGGUUGACUAGAUUCCUUCUUUGGAAUCAUGUUCUUUGUGAAUCCCCUCUGACCAUGAAAGAGAAUAUCUCUGAAAUGACAGUCUGUUGAAACUUUUCUUUUCAAGAAACAGCAUUGAUGGCAUGGUAGAGAAAUGCCAGAUCUGAGUCCACGUUUCAGUUAUAAUACUGUUAUAGUGGCCUCAUCUGCAUUUAGUGCUUCUUCUUGGCCAUAGAAGGGUACUUAAUUGUGGUCUUGGCUUUUAUUUAGUAACUAGAACUACCUCAGAAACUUCCCUCUCUAAAGGGACUGAAAUACUAUGGGAGUCUACUAGCCUGAAUACCUUUAUUCUCUAGAGAGAAUGGCGUGGUUGUGCUGAGAGCUUGCAUUUAGUCUAUCCUCUUUUCCUCUGUAUUUUAAAAUUAUUUUUUAUUGUCCACACAAAUCAGUAGACAUGAAAGAAAAAAAAUGUAGAUUGUAUAGGAAACUUUGAUGAUAUAAAUUUUAAAUAAUUAUGUGUGGUUUGUUUGGUAUCUUUCAAAUUUAAUAUGAUAAUUUUAGCACCACUCUGCUUUUUUCCUUCUGAACUACUUUCUGUUUUCUUCUAGUAUUUUUCUAAUGAUUCAUUGACUUUUCUUUUUUUAUUAGUAUCACUAUCACUCUUUCUACUCUUUCCAUUACCUCCUUCCAAAACAAAGGGAAAUAAAAGUUCUCCUUUGUAACAUAUUCGCACAUUAGUGUCUGUGGAAAUGCAUGUCUCAUUCUGCACAUCUAGUCCAUUUCACUUCUUUCACAUCAGUCCUUUGGAGUCAAGCUUGAUCAUUAAAUUGAUCAGAGUUCUUAAAUCUUUCCUAGCUAUUUGUCUUUUCAGUGUUGUAGUUAUUGUAUAAAUUUUUCUCUCCCCAUAUCUUUGAUGACUACAGAACCCCUGGAACCAUAACCACAUUCAGAGGAUUGGUGCUAAGCAACUGGCACUGCCUGGCACAGAAUGAUCCUGUUAUGCUGGCCUGAUGGCUAUUGUCAUCCUGGGAAAAAUGCCUCCCCACGUCCUGAAGGACAGGUUCAGAGAAGGGUGGUGGCAGUGUGUGUGUGGGCAUCAGCCUGUCUUUCUUCCCCAAAUUCUAACCCUAGGGGUCUCUCUAAGUAUUGAAGAAGAACCCUGAAAAUAUGAGGCCAGAACUAAUCAGAUCUGUCUCUUCUGCCAUUUGAGAGAGGCAAAACCAGAAUUUAUUUGACAUGAUAGGAAAUUUAGUGAGAGCAUCCUAUCAAAUGAUCUGUACCUGCUGUGAGCAGAGAUUUGGGGGGGACUG